rnacentral:lncRNA from 1 species
GAUCUUACUCGUGAUGAGGCAAGAGGGGGGACUGAGUCGUUGCAUCAUUGGCCUGUGAUAGGUUGUGCACGCCAUACACCGAAACCUUAGCGGGUUACCACUGACUAAUGAAUCUUUGUAAAGGCCUCGUAACGUCCCUAUGCAAUCACACCUCGGAAGUGUGGUAUGGUGCCUUGCAAACACCGCAUGGUUGGGUCCACAGUUCUUUUGAACUUUUACGCGACUUGUGGGUAAAGAUGUGCCACCUCUGCAGAGUGUAAAAUUGAUCGAUCAGCCGUGCUCACGGUUAAGAGCGGCCUGGACCCUCACAUGAUAAUAUUAUCGAAAGAUGGAUUUAAUUUGUUGUCAUUUUAUGCAUAUGUUGUUUACUUUAUUUAUGCUUAUGUUUAAUUGCGGGUGGUAUAAACUUAUACAUAGUUAAUUGCUAAAUAAAGCUUGACCAACUUAAUUAAAAGCUGAUGCUAAUUAAGCCUUGGCCAUACCUUGAUUUGCCUUACACUACACUAUUCCCCACGACUUGUUGAGUACCAACCAU